rnacentral:lncRNA from 1 species
UUUUCAACCAGGGAGAUUACUAAGGUGCAAGGCCAGUUCCAACCACGGGCUGCACCCACACCCAUGGAGGGAGACCGGAUGGUGAAGGACGGCGAUGGCCGAGCCGGGUCCAUCACCCCGAAAAUUUUUCAGGAUUUACCAGAUCCGGGACACGUCGACAGCGUUUCCAACAUUUUACCAUUCCGCCACCAAAUUCAUGUGACUGGACGCUGCCUCCUCCUCAUAAACUGGAGCUGUGGGAUUCCAGAAUCGGACCCGGCAUCUAUAGAAGCAAACUACUGGUUUAUCACUUGUUCAUCCGGUUGACAGUUCUUUUCCACAACUUCCGGGAAUUUUAUAAUUAUUUAUAUUUAAUUGUUUUAUUUAAUUAAAUGUAAAUAAGUUGAAAAAUAACAUAGCG